rnacentral:rRNA from 1 species
AGAGCGAACGCUGGCGGCAGGCCUAACACAUGCAAGUCGAGCGCCCGUAGCAAUACGGGAGCGGCAGACGGGAGAGUAACACGUGGGAACGUACCCUUCAGUUCGGAAUAACCCAGGGAAACUUGGACUAAUACCGAAUACGUCCGUAAGGAGAAAGAUUUAUCGCUGAAGGAUCGGCCCGCGUCUGAUUAGCUUGUUGGUGAGGUAACGGCUCACCAAGGCGACGAUCAGUAGCUGGUCUGAGAGGAUGAUCAGCCUCACUGGGACUGAGACACGGCCCGGACUCCUACGGGAGGCAGCAGUGGGAAUAUUGGACAAUGGGCGCAAGCCUGAUCCAGCCAUGCCGCGUGGAUGAUGAAGGCCCUAGGGUUGUAAAGUCCUUUCGACGGGGAAGAUAAUGACGGUACCGUAGAAGAGCCCCGGCUAACGUUCGCGCCAGCAGCCGC